CACCUGUUUAUUAAAAACAUGUCCUGUUGAUUAUUUUUUCAGGUCUAGCCUGCCCAAUGAGUAUUAAAUGGCCGCAGUAUUUUGACUGUGCUAAGGUAGCAUAAUCAUUAGUUUCUUAAUUAGAAGCUUGUAUGAAGGGUUUGAUGAAAAAGUGACUGUUUCUUAGACAUUUAAAUUGAAUUUUACUUUUAAGUUAAAAGGCUUAAAUUUUUUUGGGGGACGAGAAGACCCUAUAGAGUUUAAUUGAUUAGGUUUAUUAAAUUUUUUAGAAAUUAUUUAUUUUGAUUGUUCAAUUUAGUUGGGGUGACUAAAAAAUUAAAUUAACUUUUAUUUGUAUUUUACAAUUAUUGUUGAGUAUUUGAUCCAGAAUUUUUGAUUAAAAGACUAAACUACCUUAGGGAUAACAGCGUAAUUUGUUUAGAGAGUUCUUAUCGAAAAAUAAGAUUGCGACCUCGAUGUUGGAUUAGAAUUUGUUAUUGGUGCAGAAGCUAGUACUCUAAGUCUGUUCGACUUUUAAAAUUCUACGUGAU
rnacentral:rRNA from 1 species